AAAGUUGUUGCAGUUAAAAAGCUCGUAGUCGGAUUUCGGGUUUGUCCGCGCGGUCUGCCGUUGGGUAUGCACUGCGUGUGACUUAUCUUUUUCGGGGCAGCGCGCGUUGCUUAAUUGUGGCGUGUGUCUCCUCGCUUUUACUUUGAGAAAAUCAGAGUGUUCAAAGCAGGCCUUUGCCAUUGUAUGUGUUAGCAUGGGAUAAUGGAAUAGGACUCUGGUGCUAUUUUGUUGGUUUCGAACGCCGGGGUAAUGAUUAAUAGGGAUAGUCAGGGGCACUCGUAUUCCGUAGAGAGAGGUGAAAUUCUUAGACCCACGGAAGACGCACUACUGCGAAAGCAUUUGCCAGGGAUGUUUUCACUGAUCAAGAACGAAAGUUAGGGGAUCGAAGACGAUCAGAUAC
rnacentral:rRNA from 1 species